CGCCUGAAUAUUAAUCAGUGCCCGUGGAACUGGGGUUUCUGCCAAUGAGAGCACCCCAUGCCAUGUUUUUCAGUCAGCUGAAGUGACCCCAUGUCUGAAAAGCUGGAUCUUGGCUAUUAACCCAUGUGAACUGGAUGACGGCCAGCACACUUUUUUGACUUUUUUCCUUGUCUCCUGGCUGCCCUUUUGCUCUAUUAUGGUUGUUGACUGUGUCACUUUUUCCCUGAAUAUGAGUCAAAACAAGUAAUACUUUAUAGAGUGUGAACUUUUCUAUAAACUCGGGAAAUGGAAGAGGUGACAUCAUAAUUGCCUUGAGUUCCCUUUAUGAUGAAGACUUUUUUUUUUAAAGAUAUGUUUAUGGGAAGAACUUAGUGAAAACAUUAAUGAAAAUCUUGAAAGAAUUAGGGCUAUUGAUUAAGGAUGUUAAAAUAGCAAAGGUGGUUAAUUGAAAAAAAUUGACACAGGGGAGGGGGCAGUGAGCUACUUACUCCAUCAUGCUUCUGUUCUUCUGACACCUUCAUCUCUUAGAUUAAAAGGACUACAUGUAACAAGAUAGGAUAGAGGGAUCUCAUGGAGCCUCAGGUCCUCCCUGAUGGAGUCCCGGGGAGCUGUGAGACUAUCGAGUAAACCUGUGAAAAUGACCUAGAAGGACCCACCCGUAAAGAUGAUCAUGUACAUCCGGCGUGGCCAGCAUGAAGAUGAUGCUGAAAAAAGGAGUGGGAGGCGGAGUGCCACGAGCCAACUACAGUUAUCUGCACACCCCUCGGCCAGGCUUUAUACCCAAUAAAGAAAGGGCAAAAGUGAGGAAUGUAUUAAUAUAUUCUCAUAGAUUUGUAUGUAUUUGCUGGGAUAAAUUUUCUUUGGUAUAAAUGGGAUAUAUUCUUCUAAGCUGCAAGCUGAUAAUGAGGACUUAGGUCUAAGAAAUGUAUAAAAUCAGGGUAGAUGAAUAUGAAUAUAUACAAUUAGUGGCACUUGUGCUCAUGCCUGUGUUAAUAAUAUGGUCACAAGUGUAUGUGAUGUUGUAUGUGCUUGUGUAUGUACCUAACUACAUGUAUCUUUAUAUAUUCCAAUA